UACGUAGGGGGCGAGCGUUGUCCGGAAUUAUUGGGCGUAAAGGGCUCGCAGGCGGUCUGAUAAGUCAGAUGUGAAAGGCGUAGGCUCAACCUAGGUAAGCAUUUGAAACUGUCAGACUUGAGUUAAGGAGAGGAAAGUGGAAUUCCUAGUGUAGCGGUGAAAUGCGUAGAUAUUAGGAGGAAUACCAGUGGCGAAGGCGGCUUUCUGGACUUAUACUGACGCUGAGGAACGAAAGCGUGGGGAGCAAACAGG
rnacentral:rRNA from 1 species